UAUCAACUUCUCAUACUCAACUUCUCAAAGAAAGCGAUGACUUCAUCAGAUUUGCAGCAAGCUACUCAACAACUUGAAUCUAUGAAGCUCGUGGAAGAAUUGGAGGAAAAGAGUGCUUCUUCCUCGAGAUUUAAGAGUGAUCUAGUGGGAGUUGAUGAAGAUCUGUUGGAGUUGAAGGGUCGUCUCACGAAUAUGGAGAGGAAGGUGAAGAUCAUACACUCGUUGGUAUGGGUGGUGUGGUUAAGUCCACCCUUGCUCGAAAACUUUAUGACGAUCCGUAUACUGUUUCUCACUUUGAUUUUCGUGGGUGGGCUGAUAUUUCGCAAAUUCCCAAUAUGCGGGAAUUUAUGUCGAGUCUUCUUCGUGGACCAGAUGAAAAGGUUAGCAACGAACUGAUUGGAUGCGGAGAAAAUAAGUUGAGAGAAAUCUGGCAUAAGAGGUUGUUUGGGCGAAAAUAUAUGAUUGUGUUGGAUGAUAUAUGGAGUACUGGAGCUUGGGAUGAGAUAAAGAUGUAUUUCCGCUCGCUGCAGUUUCUGGGCCUCUAUUCCUUAAAUAUAGUGCGAUGGAGAGCCAACUCUCCAAGAGCUAGAGGAAAUCCCCUGUGACAUUGGAGAUAUCCCAACUCUCCAAGAAAUUUACUUAGAUGAAUGUGGCGCUUCUGUCGUGGCCUCAGCACUACAAAUUCAGAAGGUGCAGCAAGAGGAGUAUGACAACUAUGACCUCAAAUUUUUUAUUUAUGAUUAGAAGCCAAAAAAGUAAAAAUGCUAAACUCCAAGCAAUCAAAAGAAUGCUCCAUCAGUUCAUACACACAAUCUUGUCCUUAAUAUUCCUUCUGCACUUAUGAUUAUUAAACUGUAUGUCUUCUGUAUAUGGUAUAUCAUUUUCUGCAACUCGGAUAGUUUCAGCAAUGCGCAAGAAUCGCUCACGGCUCGAGCUGAACAUAUGCACUGCAAUAGAAGCUGCUGCUCUUACGUCGCUUGCAAUAACAUCUCGUGAUUCUAUUCUUAUCGGAUGUGGUCUCUGCUUGUUUCUAUACUUUGGGAUUGAUUCGUAUUACUCCCUCCGUCCGCGAAUAGGAGUCCCGUUUUUCCAUUUUAGUUCGUUCGCGAAUAGGAGUCCAGGUUCACUUUUACCAUAAAUGGUAAUAAGUCUUACCUUCCUCUAACUCAUUUCACUCACAUUUCAUUUAAAACUAAUAUAUAGAAGUGAGACCUCUUCCACUAACUUUUUUCCAUCCACUUUUCUCAAAAUUUCUUAAAACCCGUGGCGCCCAUAAAUGAAACUCCUAAUGGCAGACAGAGGGAGUACUACUUUUUUCCCUUUUGCAAAACAUAGAUGCAAAUUUAGUACUAGGAAGUUGUUUUUUUUGGUAUUUUGUGUUUGUAUUUUUCGAUGACAAAAAAGCGUAUGAUUUUGCUUCACCAUGACACCAAAUUAUGUUGCUUUCAACAGUGAACAAUCCGAUCACCUAUGUGAAUAUAAUGUUGGUGUUUUACGACCAAACGAUGUCAUUUCAUUUAUAAACAAAAACAUCAUUUCAUUCACUUGCAUUUGGCUUGUAUUGUCGGCUUGGGUUCUAAUUCCAUUCUUUGGUUUCUUCAAGGAAUAUAUCAGUUUUGUAUUUGCAGUUCGUGAUAAGUUGUAAGAAUGUUUCGGGUACAGAUGAGCUAUAAUAAUUUCAAACCCAUCCUUGCUUUUUUCUUCUUACCUUUCCUUUUAGGGUCCGUUUGGUAGACCGAAUUUGCCUUGAAUUAAAACAUGUGUCAUCCAUCAAUGAAACUAUUUUUAGUGGACCAAAUUUGGCUUGAAACAAGACAAAACUGAAAUUCAGGCAAUGGACCAUUUUCAUACACAAGUAAUAUCACACUUAACGCCAUGCAAUAAUUGAGUAAAGAUAUUUUAGACCAUUUUGAGUGGAUUACAAAUUAUGCAGUGAAUCAGUGAUAGAUUGAUUUUGUUCUACUCUCACUGCUCAAGAGAUAACUGUCUUUUUUCUCUCAUUUCUGUAAAGAUAACUAGUAUCUUUUUUGCUACAAGAAAUCUGAAAGAAAAAAAUGGCAUACAAUCUUCAAUCCCUCAUCACCAUCCUACAACAAAUCCUUCAUCCAGAGCAAACCCACUGGACUUUUGAUCACAACAAACCAAAGCUUGAAUCCCUACUCCAAAAAGCUGAAUCUCUGAUGUAGAUUCUUGAAAAGUCUUCACACUCCCAAAUAGCAUGUUUGGAGAGACAAAUCAUAGAUACAGUUUAUAAAGCAGAGGAUAUUAUUGAGUCACAGAUGGUUCAUCAAAUGCUCUCAAACACAGAAAGCAAGAGCUUGACCUUUUCCACACCAGAUCUGCAGCAAGUCACUCAAGAGCUUGACUCUGUCCUGGUUUUGAUGGCUGAGAAGAGGAUGACUUCAUCAGAUUUGCAGCAAGCAACUCAACAACUUGAAUCUAUGAAGCUCGUGGAAGUGGAGGAAAAGGGUGCUUCUUCCUCGAGAUCUAAGAGUGAUUUGGUGGGAGUUGAUGCAAUUCUGUUGGAGCUGAAGGAUCGUCUCACGAAUAUGGAGAGGAAGGUGAAGAUCAUCCCCAUCGUUGGUAUGGGUGGUGUCGGUAAGUCCACCCUUGCUCGAAAACUUUAUGACGAUCCGUGUAUUGUUUCUCACUUUGAUUAUCGUGGGUGGGCUGCGAUUUCCCAAGUUCCCAAUAUGCGGGUGUUGAAUAUUUGGAUGGAUUCUUAUUUGGGCUGUGUUAUUUGUUAAGCCCGGAUGUUAUUAAUUGGGCUGAGCCCAAUUACUUACCUCCUCACACCAGAUGCCACGUGCCCCUCUACUUGGAUGAUGCCUUCCAAGCCGUUGGAUGUAGGGUUGUAUGUGUUAAGUGAGAAUGGGUGUGGUUAGCCGUUAUUAUUUAUUCAUCUUCUCUCUCUCUACUCUUCGACUCAGAGCUUAUCUCUCUCCACUUCCUUCUUCUCCGAUGAUCUUCCGGCCAUCUCUUGGUGAUCUUCCAUGGUUCUUUGAGUGGUAGAUCUUUUGUGAGUGCUGGUGUGAAGCAAUCUCUUCGAUUGCUUGUUACUGGAGUGGAACUAGGGUUUGUGAGAAUCGAGAUUUGUUCGGUGGAACUUGAUCUGGUGCGAGGGGUUUAUCUGGUGGAGGUAUUGGUGGUCUGAGGGUUGACUCUAUCCAAUCCAUUGGUGCUCCCUUGGAUCUAGUUCUGGAAGAAUAGAUCAGUGUUGUUGUGACGGGUUCUGAGCCAAGAUUCUUCGAUCUCUUGUUUUACUCUCUGAUCUUAGUUGAGUUCUAGUGUUUCAGAUCCGAGAGGAUCUUUCUUAGUGUUACUAACUUGGUUCUUGAGUGUGCAGGUGCAAGCGAGUACGAGUGGAGCUGGGUUGACAGCUUCAAGACCUUGUAAUAGUUAGAACUAGAUUCGUUGUAAUCUUAGUUUAUAUUACUUGUGUAAAUCAGCCGCGUGGGUGAGAGUUUGGCUGAGCUUUCUUGUACAAGAACAAAGAGGUCUCGGUAAAUAGUGAAUCUAGACUAAUCUGAUCCCUACAGCGGAAAAUUAUGUUAAGUCUUCUUUGUGGCCGGGGUGAAAUGGAAAGCAAUGAACUGAUUGGAAUUGAAGAUUAUGAGUUGAGAGAAAUAUUGCAUAAGAGAUUGUUUGGGAGAACAUAUAUAAUUGUGUUGGAUGAUAUAUGGAGCACGAAAGUUUGGGAUGAGAUAAGGAUGUAUUUCCCGGACAAUAAUAACGGGAGUAGGAUUGUGAUCACAACUAGGGAGUCUAAUGUUGCAGAACAUGUUGCGGGCUCGAAGAGUCUGCAUCAUGUGCGGUUGCUGAACAAGUCUGCGAGUCGGGAUCUACUUUGCCGGAUUGUGUUUGGAGAAGAGGAUUGCCCUGACGAACUGCAAGCGGUGGCAGCUAAGAUUGGGAGUGAUUGCAUUGGGCUUCCUCUUGCCAUUCAUGUGAUUGGAGGGCUAUUGUCGAAGGUUUAAAGGUCAAGAGAUGUUUGGGAGAAUGUUUACACGGAUGUAAAAGCUUCAAUUGUUGAAUCGGAUGAGCAUUUCUCCAAUAUACUUUCCUUGAGUUAUAAUCACUUGCCGAUUCAUUUGAAACUGUGUUUCUUAUACAGAAGAUUCUGAAAUUAAGGGAUCUAGACUUAUGAGUUUGUGGAUAGCUGAGGGAUUUGUGAAAUCCAAUGGAGAUAAGCGUUUGGAGGAAGAGGUUGAGAAUUACUUAAAAGCUCUGGUGGAGAGCAAUCUACUUUUGGUUAGACGACAAAAGUACAAUGGGAAACCAAUGAGUUACUCAAUCCAUGAUUUGUGGAGGGAUCUGUGCAUAAGGAAGGCUAACGAGGAGAAGUUUUUAAAUGUCAAGUUUUGCAUGCGCCAUGUAAGUGUUUACUCGUCUUCUGAAAUAGAAGAUGUGUGUGCUUCACCACAAUUGAUGUCACUUGCUCGAUCUUUUAUAUUCACUGGGAAGAAAAUUGCAUC